UACGGGGGGGGCAAGCGUUGUUCGGAAUUACUGGGCGUAAAGGGUUCGUAGGUGGCCAACUAAGUCAGACGUGAAAUCCCUCAGCUUAACUGGGGAACUGCGUCUGAGACUGGAUGGCUUGAGCGCAGGAGAGGAACGCGGAAUUCCAGGUGUAGCGGUGAAAUGCGUAGAUAUCUGGAGGAACACCGGUGGCGAAGGCGGCGUUCUGGACUGCUACUGACACUGAGGAACGAAAGCCAGGGGAGCAAACGGG
rnacentral:rRNA from 1 species